GUGCUCGCUUUGCCAGCACGUAUACUAAGACUGGAACGAUACAGAGAUGAUCAGCACGGCCCCCUGCGCAAGGAUGACACGCAAAUCCGUGAAGUGUUCCAUAUGUUU